GACGAACGCUGGCGGCGUGCUUAACACAUGCAAGUCGAACGGUAAGGCCCUUCGGGGUACACGAGUGGCGAACGGGUGAGUAACACGUGGGUGAUCUGCCCUGCACUUCGGGAUAAGCCUGGGAAACUGGGUCUAAUACCGGAUAGGACCACUGCCUGCAUGGGUGGUGGUGGAAAGCUUUUGCGGUGUGGGGUGGGCCCGCGGCCUAUCAGCUUGUUGGUGGGGUGAUGGCCUACCAAGGCGACGACGGGUAGCCGGCCUGAGGGGGUGACCGGCCACACUGGGACUGAGAGACGGCCCAGACUCCUACGGGAGGCAGCAGUGGGGAAGAUUGAACAAUGGGCGCAAGCCUGAUGCAGCGGCGCCGCGUGAGGGAUGACGGCCUUCGGGUUGUAAACCUCUUUCAGCACCGACGAAGCGCAAGUGACGGUAGGUGCAGAAGAAGGACCGGCCAACUACGUGCCAGCCGCCGCGGUAA
rnacentral:rRNA from 1 species